UUCCUAGUACGGCGAGUGAGAGGAAGAGCUCAAAGUUGGAACCUGUUUGGCCUAGCUAAACNNNNNNNNNNNNNAGAAGUGUUUUCCAGGCAAGCCGAGUAAAUAAGUAAUUUGGAACAGGGCAUCAUAGAGGGUGAGAAUCCCGUCUUUGGCUUGAGCAUUUGCCUUUUGUGAUACGCUUUCAAAGAGUCAGGUUGUUUGGGAAUGCAGCCUAAAUUGGGUGGUAAAUCUCACCUAAAGCUAAAUAUUGGCGAGAAACCGAUAGCGAACAAGUACCGUGAGGGAAAGAUGAAAAGAACUUUGAAAAGAGAGUUAAACAGUAUGUGAAAUUGUUAAAAGGGAACCGUUUGGAGCCAGACUGGCUUGUCUGUAAUCAAUCUAGGCUUCGGCCUGGAUGCACUUGCAGGCUAUGCCUGCCAACGACAAUUUGACUUGAGGGAAAAAACUAAGGGAAAUGUGGCCCACUUGUGGGUGUUAUAGUCCCUUAGAAAAUACCUUGGGUUGGAUUGAGGAACGCAGCGAAUGCUUUUUGGCGAGUUUUCCAGGAAGGUUUUCUGAGGUACUACGGUAUCAAGGUUGAUCUUUUUGGUUAUACUUCUAUUCGCU
rnacentral:rRNA from 1 species